GUCCAGACUCCUACGGGAGGCAGCAGUGAGGAAUAUUGGUCAAUGGGCGAGAGCCUGAACCAGCCAAGUCGCGUGAGGGACGACGGCCCUACGGGUUGUAAACCUCUUUUGCCGGGGGACAAACGGCGGCACGCGUGCCGUCCUGAGGGUACCCGGAGAAAAAGCAUCGGCUAACUCCGUGCCAGCAGCCGCGGUAAUACGGAGGAUGCGAGCGUUAUCCGGAUUUAUUGGGUGUAAAGGGUGCGUAGACGGGAAGUUAAGUUAGUUGUGAAAUCCCAAGGCUCAACUUUGGAACUGCAACUAAAACUAAUUUUCUUGAGUACUGGAGAGGAAAGUGGAAUUCCUAGUGUAGCGGUGAAAUGCGUAGAUAUUAGGAGGAACACCAGUGGCGAAGGCGACUUUCUGGACAGAAACUGACGUUGAGGCACGAAAGUGUGGGGAGCAAACAGGAUUAGAUACCCCCGUAGAC
rnacentral:rRNA from 1 species